rnacentral:rRNA from 1 species
ACACUCCUACGGGAGGCAGCAGUGGGGAAUUUUGGACAAUGGGCGAAAGCCUGAUCCAGCCAUGCCGCGUGCAGGAUGAAGGCCUUCGGGUUGUAAACUGCUUUUGUACGGAACGAAACGGCCUUUUCUAAUAAAGAGGGCUAAUGACGGUACCGUAAGAAUAAGCACCGGCUAACUACGUGCCAGCAGCCGCGGUAAUACGUAGGGUGCAAGCGUUAAUCGGAAUUACUGGGCGUAAAGCGUGCGCAGGCGGUUAUGUAAGACAGUUGUGAAAUCCCCGGGCUCAACCUGGGAACUGCAUCUGUGACUGCAUAGCUAGAGUACGGUAGAGGGGGAUGGAAUUCCGCGUGUAGCAGUGAAAUGCGUAGAUAUGCGGAGGAACACCGAUGGCGAAGGCAAUCCCCUGGACCUGUACUGACGCUCAUGCACGAAAGCGUGGGGAGCAAACAGGAUUAGAAACCCUGGUAGUCCCAU